rnacentral:lncRNA from 1 species
CGUGAGCUCCUCCAGGCCCGCGACGUCCGCAAGCAGCUUGGACUGCGGCCGCAUCAGGACGCCCUGCCCUCGGCCCCAGCAGAGUGGACAUCAGGCCUGGAGAGGCAGAAAUGGUCUUGCUGUGUAGUCCAGGCUAGCCUUGAUCUCACCAUGUGGCCUGGCCCUUGAAGCGAUCCUCCUGCCUCAGCCUCCUGUUGCUGGGAUUACAGGCUUGUGCUGCCACGCCCAGCACUGCUUGGAUUGCAGAAGCCGCACUUCCAGGGUUUCCCGUGCCCCUCAGCUGCCUCUGCAGAGCGGCUCGAACACCUGGCAGACUUAGUGGGGCUCAGAGGGCGUCCUCCCGCUGGUCAGGCUGCGACUUUCCUGCGUGGGCUUUGGCCCAGUGGGACGCGCUGUGGAGCUCAGCCUUGCCGGGCGAGCAGCGCUGGGAAGGGACUGGCACUUGGCUUGCUGCUGGGCCCCUGGAGACCGGGUGACUGACACCCAAGCCGCCUGCACGGCUGAGCGUCACCAGAUCCGCCCGGGUUGGCUGUCAGACACGGCCCGUGGGGUGGUGCGAAGUGCAGAGUCUGAGGAGACCUGAGGCUCGGUUUCAUGGCCUUGUCCCCGAGUGUCCUACUCAGGCCACCACACCACUCCUCCACCCACCAACACUUGCCCUUCGAGAAUCUUCUCCAUGAGCAGCAAGCAGAAGCACAAGAGGAGUGAAUCUAGCCUGGAGUGUGUGAAGUGUUUUGCGGUGAUCUGGAACCCAUAGGAGGUGGCCUGCCAGGAGACAGCAGCCGUCCCUGGCCUGCUCAGCCGCACGCAUGACGCCAGGGAAGGAAGCUUCUCCCGGUAGCUGGAACAUGGGUGCAUCAUCCUUGCCUCUUCCUGGAAGGGGGCAGGUGACUUGGUUAGGUUCUCGUGGAUGUGAAAAGAGUAAGACCAGAGGACAAGGGGUCUGGGAAGAGACGCGUGCCUGGUGUGAGCAGACGGCCCUCCGAAGUCAUUGCAACACGCCCACACCAGUCUGACUUCGGGGUUUUUUGGUACUGGGGAUCGAACUCGGGUCCUUGUGCUAGAACUUUGGUUUUAAGCCAGGUCGUCCUUGUGGUUUAUGCUCUGGAGGCCACCGGCCAGCACCAGCAAGUAGCCAGUGAGUUCAGGGGCCACAGUUCCUGUGCCACUGUGAUGCUCCGCUGGAGAGGACCAGGACCUGGGGUGGUCAGCGAGACACUGAGGAACGUGCCCUGAGGGGUCAGUGGCCGGAGAGCAAGGGGCCCGGAGUGGACGAGGAAGGGAUGGGCUCUCAGCAACACGGCAGCCUCUUACAAGCCGCGGGGAGGCGCGCUGGCCUCCGCCCCGAGUUUCUGCUCACACUCGCUCUGUGAGGCUGUGCUUAGAAGGCACUCUGAUCCGCUCAUUUCAGACGUACGCACACUGCCCACUGCACUGUGCCAGAGGCCUGCUUUUUACUAGUGAUUUUUAUUUUGCAACUCUCGAGAGAGCUAUCAUUCUUAUGCAAAUUUUCAGAGGAAAAUGUCCUCAAAAAUUAAUUAAGAUACUAUUAGGCAGUGACAGUUCCAUCCUAAUCGCCACCCACUUAAGCAGCAAUUAUAAGAUGCCAUUGAUUGAUUUCAGACGUGGUAAGUGGUGGGAAAUUUCUGAGACUGGUAAAAUAUGAUACAUACUUAUAUUUUAACUACUUUUUGAUUUCUUCUUUCUCCCUGUUAUUUUAUAUUGGGUGGUGGUAAUGAACUCAAGGUAAUCGCUGGGAAAUGAAGGGACAUCCAAUUACCUAGAACUUCUGAGCUUGAAGCCGAGGCAGUGACGGAGUGAUUUUGAUCUCUGAACAACCCGGAUGCUCCUUGCUGGUUGGGGUGCACCCACAGCAUAAGAGGCAGACGUGAGAGUUCACGUAGAUGAAGGGGAGUAUGUGCAGGUGUGGACUGGAGCCGUGUUUCGGUUUUGAUUUCUCGUUUCUGCUUGUGGAUCCCUCAGCACAUCACCCUCGCCGUGUGUCCGAGCUCGGUCUUCCCCUCAGAAGCCUGACGUCAGCGAGGCCCUUGCUCCAGUCCUCCGCAGCACGAGCCUGUGCUCCGGCUCAACAGUGGACUUGGAUAGGGAGCUAGUUUUGCAAAAAGAAGAGAGGGCGAGGAGCACUGCUACUCCUGGCUGUCUUAGCCACGCUGCCUGGCUUCCAAGGCUGGUGCUGCCAGCGGGGCCCCCUGCCCAGUGCACGAGGCACUGUGGACUCGGUCCCAGGUACGGCGGGAGCCAUGCCUCGCAGGAUACUCUGGGGCGAGUCUUGCUUGCGCUCCCAGCUGCACAGCCCUGGCCUGGUUGCUCUCCUUGCUGGUGUGUGAACAGGCCAGAGCCUUCCAAUCCUGGAGCAGCAGCUCGAGUUUCUGUGUUCACAGUGAGGCUUUCUGGCUGACCCAGACCUGCAUUGACUUAGGAGAUAUCCUUCCAAAAGAAAAUGUUCUAUUUGUCCAGCAGUAACACUGUUUACAGAGCUGCAAGCUUUACUCUUUGAUGAUAAGGAAAGUUGAGAAACACAGAUGUUUUUCACUGGCCAGUGGUACUGUCUGGGUCAGCCUCCAGCUAGCAUAAAUAAUCGAGGAGGAACACAAUGCUCUUUGAAAUAUGAAAAAUCUUUUAAGAAAUGUAUUAUUGAUGCUAUGAAAACCAAAGACGAGAUUCAGGAAUGGAAAAUAAAGAUGGUACCUGCCAUACAGGGUGUGGUGCUGUCCACUCUGGCCAACAGACAGACAAGACCUUACAGGGAAUGAACAGCUGGUCACUGGCGCGGCACUGCUCAUGGGUCGAAUGCAGUGCUUCCAGCUCUUUCCCCAAAUGGCCUGGUAGAGAACCCUGCUUCCCAUUCACCUCGCCUCAACACGGCUGCAGGGCUUCGCCCUCAGCAUUAAUCUGUGUGUAUUUGCUAGACCGGAUCGUAAACGAAUGCAGGGAAUCUAAAUGGCCCCACCUCCGACGUGGCCCGCUGUGCACUGGGCAUGGGUCUAGAUCCCGAGGGUGCCCAGGGCUGGCCCAGCAGCCAGCAGAGAAAUCCAGGUUGUGGUGGCUUCCAUAUGACAGUUCCGCCCCUGCCUGCCUGCAGCACUUUCCACCCCAGACGCCCGGUCAGCCUCCGUGCUUCCUCUGCUUCCUCUGCUCUGGCUGGGCCCCACCAUCUGCACCCCGAGUCUGGGCUGUGGUGGAGUCUUAGCAGACGUGGCGCGACUGCGGCGUGUUUUUCUGUGCAAGGUUCGCUCUGUUCACUUCUGAUGUCCAGUGUUGCUUUUUCCAGUCAUUGGCCUAAUGAGCCCUCACUUCCCGUGGACUAACUUCUGGGUGCUUCCAGGCGGCCCACGGGGACACCCUCCUGCCGGGAGAGACAUCUGUGCACUGUUCCUUUCAGCCCUGUGCUGCCCCUGGAUGAUUUUAGUGACGGUGUCACCUGCUGCCUGGGAGGGCAGAGCCGAUCCCCUGGUGUGUCCCACAGGAGGCAUUGGGCUUCUCCUUCUCACCUUUAUUUCGACAGAGACACACUGAAUCCCCAAAGUAAGUUUUGCUGAAGGUGGAAAUCUGAUAAGGUGGCAAUAAACACUGAGACUAGGAUCAUGAAACUGAGCCCUCUUAUACUCAGUCCGGCUUCCCCAUCUUCGCUUUCAACCCAUGGGGCGGCCUUUCCUCUCGCUCUGCUCUCGAGGUCUGUUUCUGCAAGUGCAGACCUCGGCGUCCUGGGACAGGAGCUGCACCCACUCCGACCCUCAGCGCUGGUCCCUGCUGCCCGAGGGCCUCCUCUCUCCAGACCUGGAUCUCGGUGUAGCCGUGAGUUACAGGGGAAGAGACGCCUCAGGGGCCCAUCCCAGCCCGGCCAGGCCUGUCUGAGGGAUUUGCCAGGCGCCAGGCCUUCUCCGAGUGCUGGUGAUAAAAAUUUAUCUCGUUCAGAAAAGAUCAUUCUUCGGCUAAGAAAAGCCAGAUCUUGCUUGCUCCGGGCAUGGCUGGACACAAGUGACGUCGUCCGAUCCUCUCUCAUUUGACAGAGCUUCCUGUUCCGUAUCCGUCUCCAUCUCUGCCCCUCCCUCUUUUUCUUCUUUUUUCUCCUUUAUUUCCCCUUCUACUGAGUCCAUCUGCAUGGAAAAUGCCUCACAUUUUGACAAAAAUGACCACCAGCAAUUUUGGAUUUAUGUUAAAUGACAGCAAUCUCAACUCAGAGAGGAAGAUGUGAUGUCUUCCCAAUGGUCCUAGGAAGGUCCCAAAGGACACUGGAUGAGCCUGGCUCCCCACCCGGCACUGAGGGUAGAGCAUGGGAUUGCCCAGGCCGGGUGACUCCCACCCCUGUGGACAUGGCUGUGGUACUGUGGGUGGCCUGACAGCUCUUGUGUUUGUGGAGCAACAAGUUCAAGGAGAGCAGGGUUGCAGGAAGGGCAGUGGUAGGAAGAGGUGAAGUGACCCAUGUUGGCCAGUGUCACUGAGGCAGGGCCCGCAGGAGCGAAGUGUCCUUCGCCACAUGACGGACGCCACGGGGAAUUUUAGUCAGAGGAGAGAUGUGAUCCUUUGUCCUCUCCUUCAAAGCCUGCCCUGGCCGGUGUGGGUGAGGCGUGGGGAGUCACAGAACACAAGAGGUGGAAGUCUCCAUUUCUAAGAACGAAUGGGUCUCUCCCUUGGCCCGCGUUCUGCUCGAGACUCAUGUGGGUGUCCACUGCGGCCUCACACAGGGCUCCUAGCAGCAGUGCUCAUACCAGCCAAGCACAGGAACAACUCGAACGCCCACCAGCUGCUGGCUGGAGACCAAGCUGUGUUCAUCCUCCAGCAACGCCUGUACAGCACAAGAGGGAAGACUCAGCAGUAACAAUGCUGGCGCCACACGAGGGUCACAUCAGCACAACAUGAAGGAGCCUGGGCGUGCAGGACCACAGCUGUGAGACCGACUCCAUCUGUGGCAUCCGGAGAGCGCAGAGCUGUGGGUGGAGACAGAAGGAAGCAGCGACCAAGAUAGCCAGGCC